rnacentral:tRNA from 1 species
UGCAAUAUGGUGUAAUAUAAUGGUAACACAUAAGACUCAUGAUCUUAAACUAUACGUUCAAAUCGUAUUAUUGCUA